AGGAGAGGCACUGAGGUGUAACUUUUGUUUCUCAUGGCAGAGUGACCUCUGUACUCCUACAAGCAUCCAGACCUGUCCGGCAGGACAAAAUGCCUGUGCUGAUGUUAUAUUUCAAAGCGUCAGCGCUUCGUUCCGUCAGUGCAUGAACAUGGCGUUGUGUCAGAGCUACGUCACAACACCUGGUGCGAUCGCCCAAUGCUGCAGCACCGACCUUUGCAACUGAUCCUCUUCCUUUAAUCUCAGGACCACAUGAUCGCUGAUUCCUGAAUCAAGACUGGAGGUUGUUAGCUUCAUAUCCUUCUUACACUCUAUCAAGGGCACUUCUGUUUGCUUUCUCUGUGAUGGUAUGUGUGUGUAGCUCUGUACACGUGUCAUUUAAUUCAGACCUGACACAAAAACAAACCAGUGAGCUUUGACUCUGUCACUAGAUGGCAGUGGCACACUGUACAACACAACGAGCAGCUGCUGCAUAUAUGUGUGUUUUCAUAUGUGUGUAAGAGCUUUAUUAAAAGACAAACAGUGAAGCUGAGUGACAUUUUGA